AUUGAACGCUGGCGGCAUGCCUUACACAUGCAAGUCGAACGGCAGCACGCGUCCUUGCACCUGGUGGCGAGUGGCGAACGGGUGAGUAAUACAUCGGAACAUGUCCUGUAGUGGGGGAUAGCCCGGCGAACGCCGGAUUAAUACCGCAUACGAUCCACGGAUGAAAGCGGGGGACCUUCGGGCCUCGCGCUAUAGGGUUGGCCGAUGGCUGAUUAGCUAGUUGGUGGGGUAAAGGCCUACCAAGGCGACGAUCAGUAGCUGGUCUGAGAGGACGACCAGCCACACGGGGACGUAGACACGGCCCAUACUCCUACGGGAGGGAGCAGUCGGGAAUUGUGGACAAUGGGCGAAAGCCUGAUCCAGCAGUGCCGCGUGUGUGAAGAAGGCCUUCGGGUUGUAAAGCACUUUUUUCCGGAAAGAAAUCCUUGACUCUAAUACAGUCGGGGGAUGACGGUACCGGAAGAAUAAGCACCGGCUAACUACGUG
rnacentral:rRNA from 1 species